GUUUCGCCGCCGCCGUUCAAGCUCCUUGCCGCCGCCGUUCAAGCUCCCUCACAGUGAUGGAGGGGAUUGAAAUGGAACAGCCUUUCCCGGAUAACUCUUCAGAUGACUUCUGCAAUAUAGUAUUAUCCCAAUUUUGCGAUUCCAACAAUGAGCACCACGUCCACAUCUGCACCGCCAUUGGUACAAUGUCACAGGAGCUUAGAGAACAGAGUUUUCCUCUCACGCCAAUUGCUUACUUCGGUGCUACUUGUUCCUCACUCCAAACCUUAUAUACUGCUGCCCCUGAAGGACCGCCAUCCCAUCUUGUUGAUGCUCU
rnacentral:misc_RNA from 1 species